UACUUGUAUGCACUGAAGACUUUGACUUGA
rnacentral:piRNA from 1 species